AGUGAACGCUGGCGGUAGGCCUAACACAUGCAAGUCGAACGGCAGCACAGGAGAGCUUGCUCUCUGGGUGGCGAGUGGCGGACGGGUGAGGAAUACAUCGGAAUCUACUCUGUCGUGGGGGAUAACGUAGGGAAACUUACGCUAAUACCGCAUACGACCUACGGGUGAAAGCAGGGGACCUUCGGGCCUUGCGCGAUUGAAUGAGCCGAUGUCGGAUUAGCUAGUUGGCGGGGGAAAGGCACACCAAGGCGACGAUCCGUAGCUGGUCUGAGAGGAUGAUCAGCCACACUGGAACUGAGACACGGUCCAGACUCCUACGGGAGGCAGCAGUGGGGAAUAUUGGACAAUGGGCGCAAGCCUGAUCCAGCCAUACCGCGUGGGUGAAGAAGGCCUUCGGGUUGUAAAGCCCUUUUGUUGGGAAAGAAAUCCAGCUGGCUAAUACCCGGUUGGGAUGACGGUACCCAAAGAAUAAGCACCGGCUAACUUCGUGCCAGCAGCCGCGGUAA
rnacentral:rRNA from 1 species